rnacentral:rRNA from 1 species
UCAGCAGCCGCGGUAAUACAGAGGGUGCUAGCGUUAAUCGGAUUUACUGGGCGUAAAGCGUGCGUAGGUGGUUUGAUAAGUCGAUUGUGAAAGCCCCGGGCUCAACCUGGGAAUUGCGGUCGAUACUGUCAGACUCGAAAACGGUAGAGGGAGGUGGAACUCCAGGUGUAGCGGUGAAAUGCGUAGAUAUCUGGAAGAACACCGAUGGCGAAGGCAGCCUCCUGGGCCUGUUUUGACACUGAGGCACGAAAGCGUGGGUAGCAAACAGGAUUAGAUACCCUGGUAGUCCACGCCGUAAACGAUGANAACUUGACGUUGGUUUGCUUAGCAAAUCGGUGUCGUAGCUAACGCGAUAAGUUCUCCGCCUGGGG